GACGAACGCUGGCGGCGUGCUUAACACAUGCAAGUCGUACGGUAAGGCCCUUUCGGGGGUACACGAGUGGCGAACGGGUGAGUAACACGUGAGUAACCUGCCCACAACUUUGGGAUAACGCUAGGAAACUGGUGCUAAUACUGGAUAUGUGCUCCUGCUGCAUGGUGGGGGUUGGAAAGCUCCGGCGGUUGUGGAUGGACUCGCGGCCUAUCAGCUUGUUGGUGGGGUAGUGGCCUACCAAGGCGGCGACGGGUAGCCGGCCUGAGAGGGUGACCGGCCACAUUGGGACUGAGAUACGGCCCAGACUCCUACGGGAGGCAGCAGUGGGGAAUAUUGCACAAGGGGCGCAAGCCUGAUGCAGCAACGCCGCGGGCGGGAUGACGGCCUUCGGGUUGUAAAACGCUUUCAGCAGGGACGAAGCUUUUUGUGACGGUACCUGCAGAAGAAGCACCGGCUAACUACGUG
rnacentral:rRNA from 1 species